AUCUGCAGACAGGUCCGAAGGCGCAGCCAUCUGCUGUUCUGGGGAUCGAUAGGCCCAUUCCCGGCCCAUACUGGGGCAGGUGUCAGAAAGGGGCCCCAAAAGAGACUGCAGCCUGGGCUUGUACUGAUGGCAAGCGCAGAGCCCCAAAGCCUGCCCCACAACCAGACUCAGCCUGGGGCAUCGCAGAGGCACUAGCGGCACUACCCUACCUUCUAGAGUUCACGGCCUGCAUGGGAGAAAGAGGAGGAGAUACCUACUGUAGGUCCUUAUUCAACAGAAAGAGAGAGAGGAGGGUCUUACUUUUUUGCUUGGCUGCUCCUUGGCUGUCUGGUGGGGAGAUGGCCACUCUGCCCAAGAAGGUGAAAGAAAACCCACAUUUACCCUGAUUGGAUUUCUCUGCCAUGCCCUCCAGAGCCAUCAGAUGGCCCCUGAAACUCCUGGGCCCAUGCCACAGGAUGCCCUCCAGGACAUCCACAGCAGCUCAGCACCUCCCUCAGAAAGAAUCUCUACAGACAAAGAACCAUGGGGCACACUCCUGUUGUUUUGAUUUAUUGUGGUAAAAUAUACAUAAUGUAAAAUUUACUAUUUUAACAAUUUUUUUAAAGACACAAUUUCACUCUUGUUGCCCAGGCUGGAGUGCAACGGUGCAAUCUUGGCUCACUGCAAUCUCUGCCUCCUGGGUUCAAGCAAUCUCCUGUCUCAGCCUCCCAAGUAGCUGAAAUUACAGCCAUAUACCACCAUGCUUGGCUAAUUUUGUAUUUUUAGUAGAGAUGGGGUUUCUCCAUGUUGGUAGGCUGGUCUCGAACUGCUGUCUUCAGGUGAUUCACCCGCCUCAGCCUCCCAAAGUACUGGGAUUAUAGGUGUGAGCCUCCACACACAGCAAUUUUUACAUAUAUAUAUAUAUAAUUUCACUUUAGGUUCUGGGGUGCCUGUGAAGAACAUGCAGGAUUGUUGCAUAGGUGCUUACAUGGCAAUGUGGUUUGCUGCCUCCAUCGCCAUCACCUAUAACUGGCAUUUCUCCCCAUGUUAUCCCUCCCCAACUCCUUACACCCUGCUGUCCCUCCCCUACUCUCCCAAAACAGACCCCAGUGUGUGAUGCUCCCCUUCUUGUGUCCAUGUGUUCUCAUUGUUCAACACCCGCC
rnacentral:lncRNA from 13 species